rnacentral:lncRNA from 1 species
AGCGGGCGUGAGUAAGUCCUGGUGGAAUGUGGAUCUCUACAUGGGGCAGCAACAGAAGACUGAGAUCAGAAUAUUAGGUAAGUAUUUUCAGACAGCAAAUGCAAUUUAAGCUAUGGAAGUUCUUGCCUAAGGUGGACCAUGACAGGGUAAACACUAGCCCACAUGUUGUAGGAUAGAGAGUAACUGACCCCAUCAGAUAAAAUGAGAGAAAUGUAGUUAACAAAUAAUUCAAAGUCCCAUGGGUAACUGAAUGAAAUAGGUUUUACAUUUGUUUCUAGGAUGUUUACAAUAUAAAAUGCUAUGCCCUCCAGAGAAAAAUUCAAGAGAAUGAUAGAUUUCUUCCCAGGUAAGAAAAAUAAUUUAAUCCUGGACCCAACUGUUGUAUCCAGACAGAUACUACUUGAAGGUAGAGUACUGGCCCAUGUACUACAUCCUUGGACAGUAGGUUUUUAGUGCUCAGCAGAUACCGUACAUCCUGACCCUAUGGGAAGGGUGAUACUUGUUGCCUUUGUAUUGUUUGAGACAAGGUCUUAUGUAACCCAAGCAAGCCUGGAGCACGCACCUCACCUCCACCUCUGGGUAAUGGAAUCACACAUCACUAGAUUCUGAUACUGGACUUUUCAUGAUGGUAUCAUUUACUCUCCAAAUCUCUAAGACAUUAAGUGCUAUCAGGAAAGGCAGUUCAAAAUGGACAAAGUUCAUGUCUCUAGUGAAUAUUAGAAAAGUCUGGUGAUUAAUUUCCUCACUCACUACCAUGGCAGGCACCUUUCUUAUUAAUGUCCUCUAACAUUGUAAAUAGAGAAUAAAAAUGGACAUGGUUUCCCCAGGCAAUACCACCGUAAGGUCUGCCACACACUGGUUCUUUGCGCCCUCUAUGCCCUUCUAGGAUUAAGUACAAACAGCUGUCAAGAGAACUUCUGAGUUUCUAACCAAAACCCAGCUGUAGCUUUCUGCUGGGUCCUUGCACCUACCCCACUAGGAAUGUCUACAGGUUCAUCUUCAACACUAAAGCAUGAGGCAGUGAAGUAGCCAUCUAUGAUGAGCCCUCCUAGGCAUGAGGUAGAUAUUGCUGGCAGCUUCCUUAGAGAUGCUGCCAGACAAGGUCUGGUCUGUGACAGAGCCACCACUUGAAAGCUGCACCACACAGACAACAUAUAGAAAAUUAGGCCAGAAGUGACUUCCAGCUUGGGGGGUCACCUCCAUUACAUCAUAUCAGGCUGAGAAAUGACGGACUCUAAGUGGGAGGAUGCUGAAAUGCUGAUCUCUGACCUGGAUCUGCUGCUGAAGCAAGUUGAUUUUGUGUUGUUGCUGCAGAAGCUGCUGCUGCUGCCUCGCGAUCUGUGGAGAAAGAGAGAACACUGACAACACAGGGUAGGGAAGACCAACCUGCUGCCCACCGCAGUCGGAUCUGACACCAGCUGAAAGAUGGAAGCACUGCCCUUCCAUGAGCUGAGUUGUCAGCAUGUCGUCCUUAAGGAGGAUCAAGAGAGACAUUCAGUCUCGGCAACCACUUACACCUUGUUUAAAGCCUAAAUGGUGCCUCGUCUCAAAUGUGUCUUCCAUACCCUUUCAAUCCAAUUAGAAGUCCACCCU